rnacentral:rRNA from 1 species
UCAGCGACUUAUAUUCUGUAGCAAGGUUAACCGAAUAGGGGAGCCGAAGGGAAACCGAGUCUUAACUGGGCGUUAAGUUGCAGGGUAUAGACCCGAAACCCGGUGAUCUAGCCAUGGGCAGGUUGAAGGUUGGGUAACACUAACUGGAGGACCGAACCGACUAAUGUUGAAAAAUUAGCGGAUGACUUGUGGCUGGGGGUGAAAGGCCAAUCAAACCGGGAGAUAGCUGGUUCUCCCCGAAAGCUAUUUAGGUAGCGCCUCGUGAAUUCAUCUCCGGGGGUAGAGCACUGUUUCGGCAAGGGGGUCAUCCCGACUUACCAACCCGAUGCAAACUGCGAAUACCGGAGAAUGUUAUCACGGGAGACACACGGCGGGUGCUAACGUCCGUCGUGAAGAGGGAAACAACCCAGACCGCCAGCUAAGGUCCCAAAGUCAUGGUUAAGUGGGAAACGAUGUGGGAAGGCCCAGACAGCCAGGAUGUUGGCUUAGAAGCAGCCAUCAUUUAAAGAAAGCGUAAUAGCUCACUGGUCGAGUCGGCCUGCGCGGAAGAUGUAACGGGGCUAAA